rnacentral:rRNA from 1 species
GCGAUUGGAGCGGCCGAUAUCAGAUUAGGUAGUUGGUGAGGUAAAGGGCUCACCAAGCCGACGAUCUGUAGCUGGUCUGAGAGGACGACCAGCCACACUGGGACUGAGACACGGCCCAGACUCCUACGGGAGGCAGCAGUGAGGAAUAUUGGUCAAUGGGCGCAAGCCUGAACCAGCCAUGCCGCGUGCAGGAAGACGGUCCUAUGGAUUGUAAACUGCUUUUAUACAGGAAGAAACCCUCCCACGUGUGGGAGCUUGACGGUACUGUAGGAAUAAGGAUCGGCUAACUCCGUG